rnacentral:rRNA from 1 species
CACGUAGUUAGCCGGUGCUUAUUCUUACGGUACCGUCAUCAGCCCCAGGUAUUAGCCAGAGCCUUUUCGUUCCGUACAAAAGCGGUUUACAACCCGAAGGCCUUCUUCCCGCACGCGGCAUUGCUGGAUCAGGCUUGCGUCCAUUGUCCAAAAUUCCCCACUGCUGCCUCCCGUAGGAGUCUGGGCCGUGUCUCAGUCCCAGUGUGGCUGGUCGUCCUCUCAGACCAGCUACAGAUCGUCGGCUUGGUAGGCCUUUACCCCACCAACUACCUAAUCUGACAUCGGCCGCUCCAGAGGCGCGAGGCCAAACAUUGCUGCUUGGUCCCCCGCUUUCAUCCUCAGAUCACAUGCGGUAUUAGCACAGCUUUCGCUGCGUUAUCCCCCACCUCUGGGCACGUUCCGAUGCAUUACUCACCCGUUCGCCACUCGUCAGCACCCGAAGGCCUGUUACCGUUCGACUUGCAUGUGUAAAGCAUGCCGCCAGCGUUCAAU